rnacentral:rRNA from 1 species
ACUACGGGAGGCAGCAGUGAGGAAUAUUGGUCAAUGGACGAGAGUCUGAACCAGCCAAGUAGCGUGAAGGAUGACUGCCCUAUGGGUUGUAAACUUCUUUUAUAUGGGAAUAAAACGUUCCACGUGUGGGAUUUUGUAUGUACCCUAUGAAUAAGGAUCGGCUAACUCCGUGCAAGCAGCCGCGGUAAUACAGAGGAUCCGAGCGUUAUCCGGAUUUAUUGGGUUUAAAGGGCGCGUAGGUGGAUUGUUAAGUCAGUUGUGAAAGUUUGCGGCGCAAACGUAAAAUUGCAGUUGAAACUGGCAGUCUUGAGUACAGUAGAGGUGGGCGGAAGUCGUGGGGUAGCGGUGAAAUGCUUAGAUAUCACGAAGAACUCCGAUUGCGAAGGCAGUUCACUGGACUGCAACUGACACUGAGGCUCGAAAGUGUGGGGAUCAAACAGGAUUAGAUACCCCAGUAGUC